UAUUCUCAUUUCACUUACAGUUUGAUUACUUACAUUAGGCCUACACUAUCCACUUACACAAUACGUUAUCAAGUUUCAGGACAUUUUAUCUGUCAUUCUGACAUCUGUACAUUGUACUUCAUGUAUGUAUUUAUGUAAACGCUACAUUUUAAACGGGCACGCGCUUUGAACGUUCGAGUUGUAUUUAAACUGCAGCGGAGAGAGAGUUACUAUGGAAACGGGGAAGCAGCUUAACUGACAAGCGGCGAGUCUCCGUCUGUCACACCGCUUUACGGUAAGUUUUGUCCCUAAUAAGACAAAAAUAAUACAUACAACUGUUCCUAACACUUUCUUAUAUGUAAUAGACACGUUUCUGUUGAAUAUUUACUUUAUAGAAAUGGUUUAGUGUCUUCGGAAAAAGUCCGUUAGCAUCUCAACCGUUAGGCUAACUAUAAGAUGUAGGCUAACUGUAGAGUUUAGCUCUUAAUUCAUAAAGUUUUCGCUUUUAGUCACAUACUAUGUGUAGAUGACAGUUUUUUGUAUAUAUAUAGUUUUGUAAAUAUUGCUGGCAAUUUGUCAGUGGAUGAACGGAAGUAAACCAUUUAACCCAAAUGUAUGGGCUGUACUGUUAAUCGGUGACGUCACUUACAUGGAGCGUGAAAAUUAACUCAAAUCUUUUUAAACACGUUUUGAUCCCACUAAAAAGAUAUUGAUAAAAAUUGUACUGUGAUUUCAGCAGCAUCAGUAAGUUAUUUGACUUCCAAACAAACUGUGAUGUGAUACUGUAUGAGUUUGUUUAUUUCUAAUAAUGCUGACCUUGCAUAUUACAUAUUGCUGGCUCUGUGACAAAUUGUUUAUGUUUCUAACAUUAGAUUCUUCAUGCUGAUGGCAGUACUGCAGUAGAGUUGGAGCGGACCUCCUGUUGAAGAGCAUCUCCAAGGUGCUAUGAACCAUCUGACUAGAAAGCCGUCUCGUUUAACUCAUUGAGGACACUUGGUAUACAGCAACCUACAGAGGGGCCCAAUGGCAGUUUGUGAAGACAGACAAACAAGAGAUGCUGUGUCAACCUGGACAGAAGUCCGUUUCAGAUCCACCUUCCACACCAGACUUCUCAUAUGGAUUGCUGUCUACUAGCAUAUUAUUUGUUCCCCUCAGAAUUUAGUGCAUGCAGACAUUACUCAGGAACAUGAACACGAAUAUUGCAAGAAUAGAGAAUGUGCCGUAUUUCGGAUAUGAAUGUUAAUUGCUCUUAAGCAUUAAAAAAAAUUAUUUUUACAUUUUUUUUUCCCCAAAGCACCUAUAAGCCAAUUCACACUGAAUCUCACGAGUCAGAGUUAAAAAAAAAAAAACUCUGGUUUAGAUAAUUCACUUCUUUACAACCUUGUUUCUUUUUGGGGUUGUACUGAAUUCUGUGACCCACCAAAUUUUGUGAACCUAGGCACUGCAGUGAGCUAAUCUGACCUACUACUAAACCCAACCCUCUAGUCCUACCAUUUUUUGCCAUACUGAUUACCAUUUGUAUAACCAUAAUUAAAACUGUUUUUGUAGCAAAACCAUUUUUAAUUUUUGGUUACCAUAAAAUAUUUUAAAUGUUUCUAAACUACCCUCGGCAGUAGAGUCAUAUAAUUUGGUGGGUCACAGAAUUCAGCAACUGAAUGAAUCAGCACUAAAAGAAUGGUUUUCUAACUAAGUCAUUAAGACGGUCUCUUGCUGCCACCUAGUGGCAUAAUAAUGUAACUUACAAUUAAAGCACUGAAUAACCCCUACCUAAAUACAUUUUUCCAUUAUUCCAGUAUUAUAAAAUAUUAAUUAAACAACAAUAGCCAUUAUAAACUGUAUGUAUUAUAUAUUAUUUGAACAAGUUCUAAAUUGGAUGUCAUAUACCUGUAAUUUGUGCUAAUAAAUCACUAACAAUAUAAUCAUUAGUUUUAGUGCAAAUGAGUAAUAAGAUUGCAGUGUGAUUAUUAUUAUAACUGCAAUAAAAUAAUUUGUAACUAGCUGAAAUUGAAUACAUUUUACAAAUGAAAUGUUGCUUUUUUUCUGUUAAAACAUGCAUUGAAGUUUCUUGGACUUUGUACUCAUAUUUAACUUUGCCAGUCAUUGCAUAAUUUUCAUAUGUUGUACUUUAUUUGAACCAUUAUGCUUUAUUGGUGUAUAUUCAUGCAUUUGUCUUGUUUAUUGGCUUAUUUAUUUAUUUUUGUGAACUACCCAUAUCACAUUACUUGUUAUAUUUUGUGAAUAAAUACGACGAGUGAUGAUUUUUGUUUAGUAUAAAGUAUUAGGCCUAUAUAUGUUAACCUAGCCUUAUAAAACCAGCAAUGCUACAAGGUAAGGUGAAAUGUAAAUAAGUGCUUUUAAGAUCAAUAGUCAGAUUUAACACUGUAAAGAAAACAUUUUGAUGGCAGCAUGUAAAGUACCAGUUUGG